rnacentral:rRNA from 1 species
AGAGUUUGAUCAUGGCUCAGAACGUACGCUGGCGGCACGCCCAACACAUGCAAGUCGAACCAAGUAGCAAUACUUAGUGGCAGGCGGGUGAGUAACAUGUAGGUAUCUGCCCUUUGGCCUGGAAUAACACGAGGAAACUUGUGCUAAUACUGGAUAAGUCUUUACGGAGAAAGCUUUAUGCACCAUUGGAUGAGCCUGCACUUGAUUAGUUUGUUGGUGGGGUAAUGGCCUACCAAGACUGUGAUCAAUAGCUGAUUUGAGAGGAUGAUCAGCCACAUUGGGACUGAGACACGGCCCAAACUCCUACGGGAGGCAGCAGUGGGGAAUCUUGCACAAUGGAGGAAACUCUGAUGCAGCGAUGCCGCGUGAGUGAAGAAGGCCUUUGGGUUGUAAAGCUCUUUCGUCGGGGAAGAAAAUGACUGUACCCGAAUAAGAAGGUCCGGCUAACUUCGUGCCAGCCGCCGCGGUAAUA